rnacentral:lncRNA from 1 species
CUUUAGCAUUUUCUUUUAUGUUCUUUAGCAUAAUGUUAAUGUUGUUUAACUUUUUCUUGUUAUUUUGAUGAAAAACACUUGUCUUCAUGAAACAACUACAGAAACAAACUGCUAACGUUUUUAUUACAUUCCAUUAAAUACCCUUCUAUCUUAAAAAGGUCAGGCAAGUGAAAUGAUAAAAAAUUAUAGGCACUACUUUGCCUCUGAAUUGCCAUUAUUAACAGGAGAUUAUUUAACUUGAUAAAUGCAAAUACUGUAAUAUUUCAAGUGUUUUUUCAAUUCUGUCUGUGUUUGCAGGCCUUGCAUUUCAGAUGACUUAAAAAUAGGAUAUUACAGUACAGAUCAUGCUACGCAACAGAUAUCAAAGAAAUACCAGGAUUAUAGGAGCUAGCUAUUGCUACGCAAGCUUUAAUCAAGAAGUAUUACAACAUAAAUGGAGAAGACACAUCAUGUUCACCAGGAAAACUUUGAAUAUUUUAUGUAACAAACUACAACGAGGAGAUUGAAGAUCUGGAGAGAAAAGUGCAGGAAUACCAAAAAAAGGAAGGACUAAGAUGGUUGUCUUUCAAGAUGAUAACCAUGAAAAAAAAAUGCUUGAAAAAGAGAAUGAGGAUUUCAAAGAAGAGGUUUUUGAACUGCACAAUGAGAUUUCUCGUCUAAAAAAUGCUCUGAAGCGCUCUGAAAAAAGAAAAAUAUUUCUUAGGUAAAACUUUCGACUGAUGUAAGAUCAAGAUGAUUAGUUUAAAUGCAGCAUGUAAGAAAUGUCACUAAAGUUGGAAUUAAUUGUUAACAGGCUUCAGAAGGAGGGUGACUUUUUUCUGGACUGCUGUCUUUUUCUGGUAUUGAAUGCUAAUUUUGUAUGUAUUUGUAGGGAAAUUCAUACAUAUUUAUUCUAAUUUUAAUGCAUAUAUUUACAUAUCUUUAAUUUAUGACAAAGGAAUAUUUGUUGUGGCUUUUGAGACUUCUAAUAUUGCCUAGCAAUGUGGCUGGAGUUCAUAUUAUGUGGCAGAUACAUGCUGUAAAGUUACUGAAAUAUAAAAGUGUCGUAGGUAGACAGUUAUAUUUUUAAAUGAUGGUCUACUGUUUUAUCUUAAGAGAACUGUAUUAAAACCUACUUUCUCUCUACAGUAGUUUUUGAUCUUCUGCAAAGUAUUUGAAUGUGCAUUUCUUCAUACAAUUAGGUUUGUGUUUCUGUGGAAGUUUCUAAGAGAAUCCAUUUCUACCAAAUAAGCUGUUGCUGCUUUGGACACCUGUGCUUUAUUACAGUUCUUAAAAGAAGGGUUUUUUCCUGAGAAGUACAAUGUACAGUCUUUACCUACAGGUUGCUUCUUGUGUAUUGUUAAAGUGAAAUAUUUAAUGGGGGACUAGAAACUAUGGCAGUGGAGUAGAAUUCUGCUGUUUAGCUUUGUUGUGUCUGUAGAUUAGACCCAGUAUCACCUUUAACAGAGGCGAGAUGAAUUUGCCACAGAGAAUAUUCCCGAUUCCCGUUUAUCAUCUGAUUCAAUGGCGCUUCUUAUCUUUUGCUAGUUUUGUAUGAGCAAUAAAGAACCACCUGCUAAAACA